rnacentral:lncRNA from 1 species
AGCAAAACGGAACUGCCAAGCACUGGUAUCAGGGACUUGGGAUGGCCUGAACCAUCGCAGCCCUGAGUCAUAUGACACAGCAGUUUUCUUCAGCCCUGCCCGUGAGCUCCAACCAUCUCAGCUCCUUCAUGAUUGUUUCGUCAUCAUCACCAUCGUCACUGUCAUCAUCAUCAUCAUCACCACCAGUGAUUUCCUGAAUGCCAACCAAGCACCAGUCAUCAAGCGUGAGCCACGGUGCAAAGAUGGAGGCAGGCUCUCCAUUCUAAGGGAACCUCUCAGGCCAGUAGGGAAGGCAAGAUUCAGACACCAGGGACAGGCAGCCUGGGAUGACAGGUGGAACAAGGAGGAGACACAAGAACCCCCACCCCAACCCAGGAACCCACAUCACAGGCCAGACCUGCAUGAUCGCCAGGCACCCGACUCGGGUUAUGAAGGUGUCUCUCCUAAGAGAGUGGCAGAGGCAAACUUUAGCCUUGGCAGUGCGCCUCAAGCUGCUCAGGGGAGAAGUCACGGCCAAAGCCCUGGAGUGCAUGGGUUCUUUAGCCAUGGUUCUCCUGCAGCUUCCUCUGAUAUUAUGAAGCGCCUGCCGCCACCAGGCUUGUUCUGACUCCCUUCCAUGAUCCACCCUUCUGAGUGGGGUUUGGCUUCUGUACAGCUCUCCUGUGGGCACUGAGCCCACUAGUCAGAGCAAGAGGGCUCCAGUCUCUGGACAGUCACAGUGCUUGGUGGCAAAACAUAAAUUGUCAUUCAUUCAUGCCUUGUUUCUGUCAUUCACUCAUUCAUUCAGCAGAUACUUAACUGAACACCUGCUCUGGGCCAGGUAUUAUUCACACCACUGGGAAUACAGUGGUGCCAACACAGGUCCCUCCCUGACUUCAUGGGGCUAACAUUCCAGUGGGAGUGACAGAAAAGAUCCACAAAAUAACAUCACAUUGUGAAAAGUGCUAUGAAAGUGAAGGACGUAAGCACAGUAAUAUUAGUAAUAGAGUAGAGAGUGAGGAGGUGGUGAGCAAAGGCCUCAUAGAGGGAGUAACAUUUUUUCUUUAAUUUGAUGUA